UCACACUUACUACUCCACUAUUGACUGCACAGAGUGCCAGAGUGGAAGGGUAGGGAUGACUAGUAAGUGGACUCCUUCCUGCUUCAAAAUAAGGACCAGCUGCCACCAAGCAGGUUCCCUUCCUUUCUCAGAGCCUGGAUCCAGAAGAGAACCUGUCUGAUGACAAAGUCCUCCCUCCUCAAGAUCAGAUUGGAAAUUUCCACAUCAUGACUGUAGCCAGGAAAACCCAGGAAUGGUGUCCAUUGCAAGGGCCUUCAGAAACUGGAACUCAAGGAGCCAAAGAAGGAAACUGGGGAGGGAAGAAACAGAUGUUGAGGUCCCUGGAGACAGAACAGGUUCUUGUUCCCAUAAGAGCUCUCUUGUCACAAAGUAUGAAGCUAUCUGUAAGCUACUAGGUUCCAGAUGCUACCAUGAUGCCAACCUGACUUCCCUGAGCUGACAACCUCACCAAUGUGUCCUGGAGCCCUGCCUCCCCAGAUCCCUGCCCCACUAAGGAAAGAGACACAAGCUGGGAGUAUGGAUCCACUUGCCAAUGCCCAUGUUCAGCGGGGAACCAAUUACAGAGGCCAGAACUUCCAUCUUCUGCACCCUAUAAUGAGCCUGGCUGGGUCCAUACUCCCAGAGGGAUAAAGAAUAAUAGGAAAGCUAUCAAGGGAGGGGAUGGGAUACGGAGUUCUGUCGGUGGGAACUGUGUGGAUCCCCACCCCUCUUAGCCUAUGAUCUUGUCAAUAGUUCCAUUUUACAACUAAAAAUUUUAAAAAAUCCAAGUUCUUUCCAUGAUCCACAAGACUCUCAACUUUUCUUAUGAGCUCAUCUUAUCUCUUUCCUUCACUGAGUUUCUUUAUUAAAAAAAAAAAAAAAAAAAAAAAAAACCCUUAGAAUGUUUCAUUAGUGUUUGGAUAGUGGUUUAAAAGAUUAUAAAAUUACAAGAGUACAGUUCCACCCAUCUCCUCCAAUAACCACUAUACUCCUCACAGUCUUAGAGAGAGCUUAUAGUUUGGGUACUUUUUUUUUUUUAAGUCCAUGUGCUUCAAUGAUCUGUAUUUUUUUUUUUUUUUUUUUUGCAUAGAGUAAUGCUCCAUUGAACAUAUGUUCAUCCCAUAACUACUUUAUCCAACUGUCUGUCAAUGGGCAUUCAGGUUUAUUCCACUCUCUGAAGCUAUGAACACAGAGUGUGUAUUUUUCUUUUGAACUAAUGUAUUCAUGUCCUUUGGAUAUAUACCCAGGAGUGGCAUUGCUGGAUCAUAAGGUGUUUCCAUUUGAGGGCUCUCCAUGUUGCUCUCCAGAGGGGCUCUGCUUAGUUUGCAUCCCACGAACACUGUAACUAAGUUCCUUUUCCUCAACAGCACCCGUACCUGUCAUUUCCUGUUUUGUUGAGCUAUGCCAUUUGUUGAGAUAGGCCAUUGUUUGUUGAGGUAGGGAUCUCUAUGUAGUUUAAAUUUGAAUAUCUCUUAUAAGUGGAACAUUUCUUUAUAUGGCUGUGGGUCAUGCGUAUCUCUUCUUUAGAAAACUAUUCUGAUCUUUUGAGUACUUUUUAUUGUUGUUCCUUUUGUUGAGCUGUAUGACUUCGUUAUUGGUGUUUGAUAUUAAUCGCUUGUCAGGUACAUGAUAUACAAAUAAAUACCCUCUCCCAAUUACUGGGUUGCCUGUUUAUGCUCAUGUAGCUUGCUUUUGAUGUGUAGAAGCUUUUCAAUUUGAUACAGUCCCAUUUAUUCCAUAUUAUAGUAUUUUCCACUUAUUGGACAGCUUCACAUAUGUGGAAUCCGGUGAUCUGAUACACAUGAACUUGGAAAAAUGCAACAAUAUAGAAGCAAGCAAAUUGUUUCUAAGACUUGUGAGAGCUAUCAUGGCUAUCUUUGGGGAG